UCUAGCUUCAAGUUCUCUCUGCUUGUGUCGGCUGGAGCACUGUUUACGAAGCGUGCAGGAACUGGUUAACGGUUUUCGCGAAGAUUUUCGACGAUAACGGAACGGCAGACGACCGCUCUUUCAUAUAACACACGUUCUUCUUUUAUGCGCCAGAAAUGCGACAUCCCGUUCACGGCGGGACCACUUUCCUGCGACAUGCCGAAGCGAACACAUCGUGUGUUUCGCGUGUGAUCUAGUUCCGGGUGCCCUGGCCGCGUCUAGAAGAAUUCAAGCCGCAGAGAGCGAUAUUUGGUGGAAGUAACGGCCGUUUACAACGUGCAUCAUAAGUAAAAUGGCCAACCGGGACCAGUCCGUCUCCAAAACCGCGGACGACCACAGUGUCGAGACGCUGGCGGAAGUUUUUCGAUGUUUCAUUUGUAUGGAAAAACUCAGAGACGCGCAUCUUUGUCCACACUGCAGUAAGUUAUGCUGCUACACAUGCAUUAGGAGAUGGCUUACUGAACAGCGUUCUCAAUGUCCUCACUGCCGAGCUUCACUUCACUUACACGAGUUGGUAAAUUGUCGUUGGGUCGAGGAAGUGACCCAGCAGCUUGAUACAUUGCAAGCUGUUGGUUUAUCCAAUUCUCGACAUGAUGAUUCCAGUAAAGACAGGUGCAAAAUGCAUCAUGAAAAAUUAUCUGUAUACUGUUGGCCUUGCCGCAAAUGUAUCUGUCAUCAGUGUGCUUUAUGGGGUGGCACCCAUUCAGGACAUACCUUCAAACCGUUAGAAGAUGUUUACGAGCAGCAUGUUACUCAGAUAAAAACAGAAGUGAGCCAAUUGAACAGGCGCCUUACUGAGCUGAUAAGUCUCGUUCAAGAAGUAGAGAGAAACGUCGAAUCAGUAAGAGCGGCGAAAGACGAGAGGGUCAGAGAGAUCAGGAACGCGAUAGAGCUGAUGAUAGCUCGUCUGGAUUCUCAGCUGAAGGCCAAACUGCUGACUCUGAUGGGUCAGAAGAAUUCGUUGACUCUGGAAACCGAGCAGCUGGAAGCUCUGCUGCAGGAGGUGGAGUAUCAGUUGCAUAAUUGCACACACUCCGAGCUGAUCGCCAAGAGUUCCGAAUUGUCUCGAAAAAUACAUCAAAUUCGCAAGAAGCCAAUGACGAGUUUCGUCACAGCUCCAGUGCCCGCAGACUUUCACAGCGAAAUUGUACCAGGCUACGACAGUGCGACGUUCUCCAUGCAAAACUUCACUCAGCUUCAACUGAAAGCUGACCCGGUGUACUCGGCUCCCUUGCAUGUUAAUGGUCUGUGUUGGAGAUUAAAGGUAUACCCAGAUGGCAACGGAGUUGUACGUGGGAAUUAUUUGUCAGUAUUUCUAGAGCUCAGUGCUGGGUUGCCGGAGACUUCAAAGUACGAAUACAGAGUCGAGAUGAUUCAUCAAGGCUCCCGCGACACGAGUAAAAACAUCGUUCGUGAAUUCGCGUCCGACUUUGAGAUCGGCGAAUGUUGGGGAUACAACAGAUUCUUCCGGUUGGACCUGCUCGCGACGGAAGGUUACUUAAACACGGAAUUGGACACUCUCAUAUUGAGAUUCCAGGUACGGCCGCCGACAUUUUACCAACGCUGCAGAGACCAGCAGUGGUACAUCAGUCAGCUGGUGACGGUUCAAAAUCAAUACGCCACUCAGAUCAACGAAUUAAAGGAGAGAUUAGCGAUAGAGAUUUCCCGUAAUGCCGUGGCAGCUACCAGAGCCACGAGCGGCAGUACGAUAUGCAGAUCACCUGCAAAUAUGUCACCUCUGUCUAUGCAGCAGCAACAACAAGGCUCGGACGAUAUGGCGGCCGGUUCGAACGCUACGCGUACCAUCGACACCGCUGCGAGUGGAGCAUCAACAAGGUCGAUAUCGAGUGUGCUUCCGGGUAACGGCGGCGGCAACAGCAGUGCGACGUUACCGAGCGAUCAUUUGAUAUCGAUGUACGACUUGGGCGAGCUCUCGAACAUCCAUCCUCCCGUCACCACGCCGACUUUGUCGUCGAAGACGUCACUGAAGUCGCAUCGUGCCAACAAUCUGAACGUCGUCGAGGCCGAAGCAGCUGCCCGUCGCGUCAACGACGUGUCGCUCGGGGAAUGCCAAGUCGCGGGAAUUCACCUGGUCCCUUCGUCCUCCUACUCGUCGCCCAGUGUUCUGAAUCAGCAGUCGUUAACCUUACUGUCCAACAACAACGGCGCCGGCAGCAACAGCGACCCCAUGCUCUGCUCUUCGACUUUGCCGUCGAGUGUGAUCGCGAGUGUGAAGCAGCAUCGCCUGGUGAAUAGCUUGAAUGUCUCGGACGGCGAAGUCGUGCAAUGUGACGGGUCGCCGGGUUCCGCUGCCGUCAGGGUUCAGUCGCCGUCGUCAUUCUACAUGUCGCCGCUGAAUCUCUCGUCCAAUAGCAGCAGCAGCGACAGUGGCGAAUUAAGCGAGCAUGACAUCUACUUGAAUGAGUGCGAGCACAACGAACCCAACGUCGCGCUCUUGGAUCUGGCGAAUGACGAGAACGACGUGGAUGACGAAACCAUGUCAGGAGAAAACGAUGUUGAAGUUGCGGAAUCUCUCGCACCUUGGGCUCAGAGCAAGCAACGCAUGAAGCAGCAAAACAGAGAUUCCGUCACAGAAACAAACCGGCUCAGGGAGAUAAUGCUGCUGAAUCUGUUCGAGAUGCAGAACAUGAACUCAGCGUGGACCCUCUGCCUCGGGCAGCAAGCGGACGAAAACUGCGAUUCGAGGAGCUCGCUCGCCUGUCUGCGGCGUCAUAGUUCCAGUCCCCUUGACUGUAACGACGUGGUGCCUACUACCGCGGCGUACUCGCAUAAGCAUCACGAGCUCGACACAUGCAACGAGCCGAGUCUCGCCGAUAGGCACUCCAACUGUGCUUACCAUCACUCCCAACGGCGUGUGACGGAAUUGACUCGACUGCUGAAUCAACUGCCAAGUGCUUGUCAGUCGAAGCUGGCCGCGUUAACGCCCUCCAGCAAUCAAACGACCCGCUCCGAACCGGCAACGCGCUCCAACUCGAUAGACUGCGAGAAAGAUUUGCCGAAACUGCCAGUAGUUAAUAAAGCGAACCACGAUGUGGAGUCACCUAGGCUGUCGGAUUUAAUUGCCCCGAAUGUUCUUUUAGACAGCAACAAAAUCAUGUCGAAGCAUUUGCUGUCUCGGCGCCAAUCGUCACCGUGUUCGUCCGCCAGCUUGAAUUUGAUAAACGACGAGAACAGCAAGACGUUCGAGUUCGAUCAAUUACUCGAAGCUAUCCAGAUAUUGUCGGGAACGCAGAAAGACGCGACUACUUGCAACGUAAAAUCGAGAAAAAGCACUUCGUCCGACGCGAAGAAUAACGCCUGCACUUCCAAUGGAGGUUCCACUGCGGUUUCGUUGAUACAGGAAGGAACCUCGUCGUCAUCUGCAAGCGCUAUGAUAACAGCGGACACUGUUCCUAGUCCCAAUAAUUAUAGCUGGUCGCCGGCAUUGUAUCAGCAUACACAUGACGGUCGUUUCAUCUUACAGCGCAGAAAGCUGUUCUAGAUUUGGCUGUACAAGGUUCGUCGAAUGAUAUUCCUAGUAAAAGUAAUCUCGAUAAAUCUACAGAAGAAGCUGCCAGUUCGCCGUAAUAAUUUAUAACUCGAGUAUAUCAUAACAAAUGUGUUCUGUGAUUUCUACUUUGUUUUAAUUGUAACCGCGAAAGAUUGAGGAGAGGAGCAUCUGCAUUCUGUCAAACAAAAUGAUCCUGACCACAAAAGUGUGUCUACACGAUUAGUCUGAUUUUUAUCGGGGACAUACAAUUUAUUUCAGACAGUAUAUAUGAAAAAAAUUGUAAUAAUAUAAUUGCUUGUGACUUUUUUAGCUAUCCUUUUUUUCUGAUUAUUGUGUAUGCGAAAUUAUUAUUUCUAAAAUACCAUUCCACGUGAAGUAGAAUUAAGUUUGUUAUUUAAUAUUAUUUAUUUCUUAUAUACAUGAAUUAUACACCCGAAAACAAAGAAUAAAUAAAAAUCAGUUGAAAACAAACGAAUUGUCUGUCACUUGAAAGAGAAAGUCCGUUUGAUAUCUUUCGCUCGAGUCUCGUGUUACUCGCGAAAAUAUUAGGUUGGUGCGUAUGAAAUGUCGGAUUUUUAAGUGAAUAUAUAAAACUGCGAUUGUAGCUUUUGCAGCAUUAUUGCCAAGUUUAUACUCAUAUAAAAAAAUUACACGAAUAUCGGUUGAAUUCAUAUCCGUACAAAAUUCAAAACAGAUAACAAAAGGGCACACUUUUGAAAAGAUCUUUGUUAAAAUAUGAUUCUGGCAAUGGACAGUACGACUGUAAAAGAGAUUAUGCCAAAA